rnacentral:ncRNA from 1 species
AAAAGUUUUAUUUUGGCUUUAAGGUUAAUUAUUGUAAUUUAUUAUAUGUAAAUUAUAUUUAAGAGGAAUUUACAGUGAUUAGAUUUAAAUUUUAAAGAGAUUUAGAAUUAGGAAAUAUAAUAAUAUUAACAAAAUUUGUGCCAGCAGUUGCGGUUAUACAAAUAAUGUAAUUUAAUUUUAUUAAUAUUAAUUAAUUUGUUUAUUAAAAUUUUAUAUAGAAUUUUAUUAAGUGAAAUUUCAAAAUUCUUAAAAAAUUAUAAAUUUAUAAUGAAAUUAAGAAAAUUUUAAUUUAAACUAGGAUUAGAUACCCUAUUAUUAAAAAUGUAGUUAUAAUUAAUUAAAUUAGUAUUAGAUAUAUUCUUAAAAGUUAAAAAUUUUGGCGGUAUUUUAGUCUAUUCAGAGGAACCUGUUCUGUAAAUGAUAAUCCACGAUUUUAUUUACUUUUUUUUAUUAACUUAUAUAUCAUCGUAAUUAAAUAUUUUUUUAGGAUUAUAAAUAUUUAAGAUUUUUUAUUAAAAAAUUAAUCAGAUCAAGGUGUAGUGUAUAAAAAAGAAGAAAUGGGUUACAAUUAAUGUAUUAUUGAAUUAUUAAUAUUAAAUAUUGGUAUAAAAUUGGAUUUGAAAGUAAAAUUAAUUAAUUAAUUGAUUUGAUUAAGCUCUAAAAUAUGUACAUAUUGCCCGUCGCUUUCAUUUAAUAUGAAAUAAGUCGUAACAAAGUAGAUUUACUGGAAAGUGUAUCUAGAUUCAAA